GAGUGAGAAGCUGAGGUUUGGCCCCGAGGAGCUGUGUGUGUAGAUCUGGCACAGCUUUGCUCCCUUAACUCCUGGAUCUUUGUUUUGGUGGCGACCAGGCAGAGCAGGGAGCGCUGUGCUCGCAUUUCCCUCUGGCUUUUACACACACACACACAAAUCCCCCUUUCCAACUUUCUGCCUUUUGCGCUUCCCUUCCAGUUUUUUCACUUCUCAGACCUACUGGCAGCAUUUGCCGAGAUCUAGAUCCCCGCCGUGAUUUGAUUCAUAGAAAAAUGUGAGUGAUGUGUGCCACUGAUUUAGGUCAUCUGCAUGCAAUUCAAAAGGAAAAGUCUGCCAUGGGUUUCUCUGAAAGAGGAAUGUGGUGUUGGAAGCUACAUGAAGAUUCAUGUCACAGUUUCCAUGACAAGUUCACAUCUUGAGGAGCAAAGUUAGAGUUUGCAAGAUUCAUAAGAGAAAAGCUGAAAGGAACCAUGCAAGUUCUGCGUGUCAAAGGAUAACCGUAUCAAUCGUCAACACCAUAGAGGGAAGAAAAGGCUUCUGAAUAUCUUACACAGUGCUCACUCACUACUUCAAAGACCAUAGUCUUCACCUCUGUCAGAUAAAAAGGGGAAAUACUGCCUAGACCGGACUUUGAUUUCAGCAUUUGGUAAAAAGUAAGAUAAUGCAGAUGUUUGUUCAUUUUUCAUCUACAUUUUGGGGCCACAUGCUUUCAGUCAAGUUUUGGAGACUUAUUUUCUGAGAUUUUCUGAAUUGACUCCAAAUCUAAGUAAGACCAUUAAAGCACCUAGCAGCUGCUAAGGGAAAUAUAUUACUACUGGUGUAACCACAGUACAAAUAUGGACACAAAUCAUAUACACAAUUCUUAGCAAUUCUACAAAACUGCAGAAUAUUUGCAGGGGAGUAGUUCCAUUUCUUGACAUUUUUACAAAAAAAUGAAGGUAUUAAUUUUUCAAAUGAAGCCCUUCUCUCCUUUCUUCUCUAUGAAAUGAGACACUCCCCAUCUUUCUAUUGCUCCUACGCUGCAUAUCCACUGAGAAUGGCCUGUCAUUCUGCAAACUCUUAUGUAUUUUACAGAGUCAACAUUGCUAUUCAUCUCAUGCAACUGCAGCCAAUCUUGGCUGCCGGGUGAAACAUGAUGUUGAAACCGAGAAGCAGUCUCAAAGAAAUACAACCGCUUAAAUCAUGGAUGGCUUCGUGGAUCAAAAAUGCCAUUUUGAAUUACACCUGGAAAUGAAGUGGCGAGCAGCGGAGUCUCCGGAAUGUGGGUGCAACCACGGAAAGGAGAAGUGGUGCCUGGGCAGCCAGUCCCACUCUUGCCUGCCGGGUAUUUUGCAGGUCUGCUCUGAGCACAUCAGUUAUGAUUGUGAGCAGCUGCAAGCUCAGCCCAGUGCAAUGCUUCCAAUAUGUUCCAGAUGAUGAAUAUGAUGCAGACUUACUGGAAGAAAAAUAUAUUUCUGGGGAGAAAAACAAUUACUUCUCAAAGCAAGACAAUGAAGCUGAACUGAUGCUAUGUGGGCAUAAAAUAGAACAGAACUUUUGGGCAAUGACUUUAACUUCUAAUAAAUCACCCACCUGGAGAUCCUUUUGCAGAGUGAGUUUGGAUGUAUCAGACCCAAAAUAUUUUCAGAGUUACAUAAAGCUGAAAAAAUUAUGAAUUUCACCCUUGAUUUCUCCCCAAAGGGACAGAUACUUUGUUCUGUCAUAGGCUCUGAAUUUCAUGAUUAAUAGAAAGGUGCAUUUGCCACUCCAAACAAAACAUGAGCUCUUUCACACAAGUUGUGCAAAAAAGCUUAGAAUCACCACUUGAUACAGUGGGUUUCAUUGGCCACAUCUUCAGAGGAGACUUGAAGGAAAUUUGCAAAAACAUGUCAAAAGUUAAGUGGUGAAAAUCAGCUUAAAUGCCUAAUUUUGAUUUUGUUUGUGCUCUUUGUUUCAUUAUGGGGAGAGGGAAGAAGCUGUCUUUUUCUCCCUGUCUUUUCAUUUUGUUGGGGAGAAAAUGGAUGUCCGUGAAAAGAAGAGACCUCUGGCAGGACUGGGAAGAGGUUGUUUAUUCUGUUUUGUUUUCUUUAGAAAGGGGCAACUCUUCUAAAACUGGUGAUGAUCCAGUUAAAGGGGAACUUGGGGGGAAAGAGAAAAGAAAACUAAUAAUCAGCCUCUAAAUGACAAGUUUCCUCUUGAACAAAAGAGCAACAGGAGGCACUGCAGGCAGGGGGUCAGUGCCCAGGGGUAACUUGCCAAACAAUGGCUGAAGAAUGUGUGUAGCUCUUGCCUCUCCAGAAGCUACUGCCCUAGUGGUUCAUUGAGCAGCUGGAAGGAUCAAACCUGACCCAACACUGGGCAAUGUGUGAUGCCAGUCUUCUGGAGUCCUCCAAAGAGGAGGCAAUGAUUGACUGUGGGUAACACAAGCAAGAAGAGAAAGACUGCUGGAGAAUCGGGCCCCGAUUCUGAAUGAUGGGUAUGAAUGAAUAGCUCCAGCUGAUUUGUCAGAGCACCUGUCAGCAAAGGGGCUAAAGGUGGGGCUUAAAGUAACUUUAAUUAGAGAUGGAGACUGCUUGAUAAUGUCUUCACUUCUCUUGCAUUGGGUUAACCAUCUGUUGGGAAAUGCCACCCCUGCCAGAUAAACCGAAGUGAAAUGAUUUUAAACUGCUACAAGUGUUCACACAGAAGUUCAUUCUGGUUUAGACUAAAUUCAUUUUAAUUUAAAUUUGUGUAACUUCUGUGUAGACAAGGCCUAUGGCUUGCCAUUUUGCGGCAAUGGUGAAUUUAUAGCACAUGUGCUCCAAAUGGACUAUCAUGCAAAUUCCCUUGGCAUUUACUCCAAGUCCAGUUCCAGCUGUCGGUGGAGAUGGAGGAGCAGAAUGGACUGCUCACAUGGCCUCCCAUGUAAUGCAGAUUGGAUCUAUUGUCAGUCAGAUGGACUGGUGGUGUGGGAGCAGCGUGAAGCCAGUUCUUUCACUACAUGGUGUGUAAAGCAAUGAGGCAGACAAAAGCUGGAUUUAAAUUAGGGAAUAUUUCUGCCAAAUUUCAUUCUGUGAAGCAGAGAAAUAAAACAUUUAAUGCAUCUGGCAAUGUUUAUUCUGUGCACAGUGUUCUAGUUGAUCAUAAAAGAAAAGCUACGUGUGAACAUUAUCUGGAAACUUCACCAUGUACGGAGGAGAUGAGCGAGCAUGAUUCUGCAACAGUCUGAGAAAGUAUUUGACUGAGACAGCUGAUGCAGUUUGGCAAGAAAACAAGAUGACAAGAGAAAAAGAAAAAAAAAAGGUUAUUUUCCAUUCGGUAGGAAUUACCAGUUACAAUCAUAGGAAAUUCUUAUCUGCCACAAAGGCUCCAUUUUGAAAAUCCUCGUUGUCCUCAACGUCUUGUUCAAUGGCCAGCAGCUUCCCACUUUGACUUUGCUGUGUAUUCAAAGGGAAGCAAGAUCUGAAUGGUUGGAAAAUGCACAUACUGCUCAUGCAUUAACUGCAUGUGCACGAAAAUAAAAGAAUUUCUUGCCUGUGCACAGUGGGUACCUAUGCCAAUAAGCGGGCAAUAACUCCCAUUACAGGCAUAUUACUCCUUUGAAGAUUUGGCCCUGAAUUCUGCUGGUGAAGUUCAACUUGUAUUUUCUAUGACAUUGCCACUUUAUUGACUCAGAAGUUUGUGCUCUAAUCAUCCAUUACCUUGACAUAAAUAGAAGACAAUGUUAAAAAUAAUCCAGAGUAAUAAUCCUGGACCAUUUUUAAUUAGAAAUGUUUGGAACAGUGAGUGUAAAUGAAUGUGAAUGAAAACAUAGUUGUGCAAUCCAAGUAAGAAUGUCAGGAACAUCAAGUAAAAACUUUGUAACUAGAUUUAGAAAAAUAAAAAAUGCUUUCCUUUUCACAUAAUAAAUGUAGUGUGGGUAGUGAAAAAUAACAUUUUAAAAAUGUUGUAACAUGUUUCUACUGGUUCAAAAAGCAUUUGUUUCUUGAAAUUAAAUGGAAUCCAAUCCUUUCGGAGA